AUUGAACGCUGGCGGCAGGUCUAACACAUGCAAGUCGAGCGGAUGAAGGGAGCUUGCUCCUGGAUUCAGCGGCGGACGGGUGAGUAAUGCCUAGGAAUCUGCCUGGUAGUGGGGGAUAACGUCCGGAAACGGGCGCUAAUACCGCAUACGUCCUGAGGGAGAAAGUGGGGGAUCUUCGGACCUCACGCUAUCAGAUGAGCCUAGGUCGGAUUAGCUAGUUGGUGGGGUAAAGGCCUACCAAGGCGACGAUCCGUAACUGGUCUGAGAGGAUGAGCAGUCACACUGGAACUGAGACACGGUCCAGACUCCUACGGGAGGCAGCAGUGGGGAAUAUUGGACAAUGGGCGAAAGCCUGAUCCAGCCAUGCCGCGUGUGUGAAGAAGGUCUUCGGAUUGUAAAGCACUUUAAGUUGGGAGGAAGGGCAGUAAGUUAAUACCUUGCUGUUUUGACGUUACCAACAGAAUAAGCACCGGCUAACUUCGUG
rnacentral:rRNA from 1 species